GAUCUACACACAAGAGCAGUACACUACUGCAUGCCAAGUUGCCAACCCCCUAUAAAUAUCACAACUCCCCCACACUGAAAAACACAUCCAACUCAGAUCAAGAUUAAACACAAUUAAGCAAGGCACUUCAGAUCUAUACCACCGCUUGUGAAGCAUGAAGGCAGCUACAGUCCUUGUGUUGGUCCUACUGGUGAUUACAUCCUCUGCUGCUGCAGCUCCGGCGAGGAGGUUGGCGGGAGAUGAUGGGCUGCAGACAGGCGAAAUGCCGUCGGAGGUGAACGUACUCAACGGGAGGCCAGGUUCAGAUUGCUACGGUUGCCAUACCUGCCCAAUAAACAAAUAUCCCUGCAACUGAGGUUUGUAAAAGCGUAUGCUUAAAAUCUUGUCAUGGUUCAGUGGAGAAUUACCUGAGCCAAUGAAGGAUCCAGAAUUACUGCAGUGAAGGGUUUACAUAUAUACGAAUAAACAGACCGUUUGCUCUCCAAGCAAAAGGUGGUCUCGCGUCUGUUCUCGUUAAACUACGACAUACAUGAAUUAUAAUUGGCAGUUAUAUAGUGCCAGAAACAUGGAUGUGACCAGCAGAUAUAUAUAUUACCCGUGCAUCCAUAAAAGCAUGAUGUAUGAUGUAUACGAUCGGAUUGUAUAAGUAUUAUGAAUACCUUUUGAAUA